rnacentral:ribozyme from 1 species
GUUGUGUUGUUAUGUGUUGUGUUGUAAUUUGUCGUGUGUUUUGUUUUGUAAUGCGUGCAAGAUUGAAUGGAAAACAAGAAGGAAACGGAGAAACGGUAUUUUUAAUACACAAAAU